rnacentral:rRNA from 1 species
CGGAGGAUCCGAGCGUUAUCCGGAUUUAUUGGGUUUAAAGGGUGCGUAGGCGGGACGAUAAGUCAGUGGUGAAAUCCCAUAGCUCAACUAUGGAAUUGCCAUUGAUACUGUCGACCUUGAGUACAAACGAUGUGGGCGGAAUGUGCAGUGUAGCGGUGAAAUGCUUAGAUAUUGCACAGAACACCGAUAGCGAAGGCAGCUCACAAGAAUGUAACUGACGCUGAUGCACGAAAGUGUGGGGAUCAAACAGGAUUAGAUACCCUGGUAGUCCACACCGUAAACGUUGAUAACUCGAUGUGUGCGAUACACAGUACGCGUCUAAGGGAAACCGAUAAGUUAUCCACCUGGGGAGUACGUUCGCAAGGAUG